AGGUGGGAACCGAUCACCCUAGGGAGAGGGUACAUUGCAUUGUUGCUUCUGUUUCGUCUCAUUGAUGUUUUAGUUUAUCAAAAUUCAUGCUUGGAAAUAUUUUGAUAAAUUAUUCAGUUUUUGGAUUGCGUAUCGCCGUCAGUCCCAGGUUAGAGUAUCAGCGUCUUUGUUUGUGGUUGUGGCCUUUCUUUGAGUUCCGAGUGUUUGUGUUACCAGUACAUGUUCUUAUGUCUGUUGGAUGAUCCAGGGGGCAUUGAUCAUGUCAGGGUUCAUCCGAAGUUUCUAUAUUCUAAUGCAACCAGUCAUAAGUGGGCUCUUGGAGCUUUCACAGAACUUUUGGAUAAUGCAUUGGAUGAGGUUUCUAACGGGGCAGCAUAGUUUAAGAUAGAUACGCUAAAAAAUAAGAAAGAUGGGAAUAGAAUGUUGCUGAUCGAAGGUAUUUUGCUUUGUUGGUUUCUCUCCGUUUUAUUGCAUCCUCCGUUUUCCCUCCUGAAAUAUAAGCUUUUGCUCGGAUCAUAUUUUAAGCUCGGUCAUGCACCUUUUGGAGAGUUGUACCCAUCGUUGAUGGUAUUUGGGAAGUAUGGUGGCAAUCAAUUGUAACUUAUACAAUCGUAAACCAACUUCUGAAAUGUCAAAAGUUAAAAAAAAAAAAAACGUGGCAUCAGAAAUGGUGGACUUUUACUUUAUUAUAUUAGAUUGCUAAUCUCGUACUAAGUGGUAUUUACAAAUGUGGAUAGAGCCUGGAAUGUUGGUAUUUUAUCGAAUGAGAAGCAAUUAGAAUAGUAUGUAAACGGCUCUGUGCGUCAAUGAUAUAGAUAAACUUUUAUGUCCAUUGAUAUGGGAAGGUUAUAAGAGUCCACAUGCAGUAGACCAAGCAACCAUCUAUAAUCAUAGGAUGCUGGGGAAGUGAUGAGUUGGACAAUAAUGUGGUUGCUAAUUGUGGAAACAACAAGAAUGACUGUGGAGAUGGCAGUGACAUCACGGAUCUAGUCAGUUUAACACAGAUGCUGUUGGAGCUGCUAUCUUUAGAAGUGACUGGGUUUCUGUUUCCACAUUCUUUUCCUGCUAUUUUCUAUCAGGAUGAGGGCUUCACUACCACUGAAGUGUAUAGUGUACAGUAUAAAUAACUACUGUAUAAUCUAUAUCAUAGAUCUCAAAUUGUUCAUAUUUGGAGCUUUGGGAAUUGCUUAUUUGACAGC